rnacentral:tRNA from 1 species
GCUGGUGUAGCUCAGCAGGCAGAGCAACUGACUUGUAAUCAGUAGGUCGGGGGUUCGAUUCCCUCCACCAGCU